UACGGCGGCCAUAGCGGCGAGGUGCCUCCCGUACCCAUCCCGAACACGGAAGAUAAGCUCGCCUGCGUUACGGUUNGGGCGACCCUCUGGGAACUUCGUUUCGCCGCCUCCA
rnacentral:rRNA from 1 species